AUACGUAGGGUGCAAGCGUUAUCCGGAAUUAUUGGGCGUAAAGAGCUCGUAGGCGGUCUGUCGCGUCUGCUGUGAAAACCCGAGGCUCAACCUCGGGCCUGCAGUGGGUACGGGCAGACUAGAGUGCGGUAGGGGAGAUUGGAAUUCCUGGUGUAGCGGUGGAAUGCGCAGAUAUCAGGAGGAACACCGAUGGCGAAGGCAGAUCUCUGGGCCGUAACUGACGCUGAGGAGCGAAAGGGUGGGGAGCAAACAGGCUUAGAUACCCUGGUAGUCCACCCCGUAAACGUUGGGAACUAGUUGUGGGGACCAUUCCACGGUUUCCGUGACGCAGCUAACGCAUUAAGUUCCCCGCCUGGGGAGUACGGCCGCAAGGCUAAA
rnacentral:rRNA from 1 species